UACGUAGGGGGCAAGCGUUGUCCGGAUUUAUUGGGCGUAAAGAGCGUGUAGGCGGUUUGGUAGGUCCGUUGUGAAAACUCGAGGCUCAACCUCGAGACGCCGAUGGAAACCAUCAGACUAGAGUCCGGAAGAGGAGAGUGGGAUUCCUGGUGUAGCGGUGAAAUGCGCAGAUAUCAGGAAGAACACCCGUGGCUAAGGCGGCUCUCUAGUACGGUACUGACGCUGAGACGCGAAAGCGUGGGGAGCGAACAGG
rnacentral:rRNA from 1 species